UACAGAAAAAGGCAAACUUGUUGAAAAACUAGGACGCAAAGUCACGGAUCUAAGGUGCAAAAGCACUAUGAUGGCCGGGCCGCCUGG
rnacentral:ncRNA from 1 species